rnacentral:rRNA from 1 species
CCGAAUGGGGAAACCCACUAUAUUGAAGAUAUAGUAUCCGCAAGGAGGCAAACCCAGGGAACUGAAACAUCUAAGUACCUGGAGGAGAAGAAAACAAAAGUGAUUCCGUUAGUAGUGGCGAGCGAACGCGGAGUAGCCCAAACCAAUGUUGUUACGGCAAUAUUGGGGUUGUGGGACUGCGACAUUGUAUGAAUCAUGAAUUGGAACUGUUUGGAAAGACAGACCACAGAGGGUGAUAGUCCCGUAUAGGUAAGUGAUUUAAUACAUAGCAGUAUCCUGAGUAGCGCGGGACACGUGUAAUCCUGUGUGAAUUUGGCGGGACCAUCCGCUAAGGCUAAAUACUCCUGAGAGACCGA